CCUACGGGGGGCUGCAGUCGAGAGGCUUCGGCAAUGGGGGAAACCCUGACCGAGCGACGCCGCGUGUGGGAUUGAAGGCCUUCGGGUCGUAAACCACUGUCAAGAGGGAAGAAGAGCUGAAUGGUGAAUUCAGAAUUGACGGUACCUCUGGAGGAAGCCCCGGCUAACUCCGUGCCAGCAGCCGCGGUAAUACGGAGGGGGCAAGCGUUGUUCGGAUUUACUGGGCGUAAAGGGUGCGUAGGCGGUUGCGAAAGUCUGGUGUGAAAUCUUCACCGCUCAACGGGAAGGGGUCACUGGAAACUACGCAACUUGAGAAUGGUAGAGGCAAGCGGAAUUCCUGGUGUAGCGGUGGAAUGUGGAGAUAUCAGGAAGAACACCGGUGGCGAAGGCGGCUUGCUGGGCCAUUUCUGACGCUGAGGCACGAAAGCGUGGGGAGCGAACGGGAUUAGAUACCCCUGUAGUC
rnacentral:rRNA from 1 species